AUUCGGUGCCUGUCUGUCAGGUUGAAAAAAGGAAUCAGGUGAAAUUCCUGAACAGUCCCGCUGCUGUAAGAGAAAAGCUGCAUGGAUUUGCCACUGGUCCGCUGGGAAGGCCCAUGCCGCGCUGCGUUUGCUGAAUUCUCAAGUCAGAAUACUUGCCGAUGC
rnacentral:ncRNA from 1 species